UACGUAGGGACCAAGCGUUGUUCGGAUUUACUGGGCGUAAAGGGCGCGUAGGCGGCGUGACAAGUCACUUGUGAAAUCUCCGGGCUUAACUCGGAACGGCCAAGUGAAACUGUCAUGCUAGAGUGCAGAAGGGGCAAUCGGAAUUCUUGGUGUAGCGGUGAAAUGCGUAGAUAUCAAGAGGAACACCUGAGGUGAAGACGGGUUGCUGGGCUGACACUGACGGCUGAGGCGCGAAAGCCAGGGGAGCAAACGGG
rnacentral:rRNA from 1 species